rnacentral:rRNA from 1 species
CUUGGUUGAUCCUACCAGUAGUCAUAUGCUUGUCUCAAAGAUUAAGACAUGCAUGUGUAAGUAUGAACAAAUUCAGACAGUGAAACUGCGAAUGGUUCAUUAAAUCAGUUAUAGUUUGUUUGAUAGUAUCUACUACUCAGAUAAUCGUAUUAAUUCUAGAGCAAAUACGUGCAUCAAACCCUGACUUCUGGAAGGGAUGCAUUUAUUAUAUAAAAGGUCAACACAGGCUCUACCCAUUGAUGCAUUGAUUCAUGAUAACUAGAUGGAUCUCACGACCAUUGUGCCGACGACGCAUCAUUCAAAUUCUUCCCUAUCAACUUUUGAUGGUAGGAUAGCGACCUACUAUGGUGGUGAUGGAUGAUGGGUGAUGGAGAAUUAGUAGUUGAUUUUGGACAGGGAGCCUAAGGAACAGCUACUAUAUCCAAGAAUUCAGCAGUCAUGCAAAUUAUCUAAUCCUGACACAGAGAGGUAGGGAUAGUAAAUAACAAUACCAGACUCAAUGAGUCUAGUAAUUGGAAUAAAUACAAUCUAAAUCCCUUAAUGUGGAUCUAUUGGAGGGUAAGUCCUAUGCCAGCAGCCGCGGUAAUUCCAGCUCCAAUAGCAUAUAUUUAAGUUGUUGCAGUUAAAAGCUCAUAGUUGGACUUUAGGAUGGGACGGCCGAUCCGUCUAUUGUGUGCACCGAUCAUCUCAUCCCUUAUGUCGGUGAUGUGCUACUGGCCUUAACUAGUUGGGUCGUGCCUCCGGUGCUGGUACUUUGAAGAAAUUAGAGUGCUUAAAGUAAGCCUACGCUCUGUAUACAUUAGCAUGGGAUAACAUUAUAGGAUUUUGGUCGUAUUACGUUGACCUUUGGGAUCGGAGUAAUGAUUAAUAGGGAAAGUCGGGGGCAUUCAUAUUUCAUAGUCAGAGGUGAAAUUCUUGGAUUUAUGAAAGUCAAACAACUGCGAAAGUAUUUUCCAAGAAUGUUUUCAUUAAUCAAGAACGAAAGAUGAGGGCUUGAAAAUAAUCAGAUACCGUCCUAGUCUCAACCAUAAAUGAUGCCGACCAGGGAUGGGCGAAUGUUGCUUAUAGGACUCUGCUGCCACCUGAUGAGAAAUCAAAGUUUUUGGGUUCAGGGGGGGUAUGGUUUCAAGGGGAAUAUUUUAAAAAUAUAAAAAUAUUAGUAAAAUAUUCCCAACGCAUGAAGUGACCUUAAACCAAUUAUUGAGUGAAUAUUUGUACGUAUAACAUAACAAUAUAAAAUAUUUAAAUUUAAGGAUACUAAAUUAAAAAUUGAAAAAAAUGUGUAAAAAUAACAUUAGAACAUUAGGAAAACCGCCCAGAAUGCAACAGAAAAGUAAUAACACCAAAACAUGUAUAUUAGAAUGAAGUAACCUUAAACCAAUAAUUGAGUGCAUAUUUGUUCGUAUAAUGUACCGGUAUAUUUAAUUAAGGAUAUUAAAUAAAAAAUUAAAAAAAAUAUAAAAUAACGUAGUGACAUUAGUAAAACCGCCCAGGAUGCAAUAGAUAAGUAACAACCCAAAAACAUGCAUAUAAAAUGAAGUAACCUUAAACCACUAGUUGAUCCUAAGGGUCGGGGAACCCUAACAAAUAGAAUGUUUUGCAUGUACUCCUAAAGGGAAUCGGGUUAAAAUUUCUAAACCGAGAUGUGGCGGUCGAUGACAAUGUUAGGAAGUCCAGAGAUGUCGGUGGGAGCCUUG